rnacentral:rRNA from 1 species
CCUACGGGAGCAGCAGUAAGGGAAUAUUGGUCAAUGGAGGCAACUCUGAACCAGCCAUGCCGCGUGCAGGAUGAAGGCCCUAUGGGUCGUAAACUGCUUUUACACAAGAGAAAACCCCGGUACGUGUACCGGGUUGAUAGUAUUGUGAGAAUAAGCAUCGGCUAACUUCGUGCCAGCAGCCGCGGUAAGACGAAGGAUGCAAGCGUUAUCCGGAUUCAUUGGGUUUAAAGGGUGCGUAGGCGGACUUGUAAGUCAGUGGUGAAAUCUCUUUGCUUAACAAGAAACUGCCAUUGAUACUGCAGGUCUAGAGUAUAGAUGACGUUGGCGGAAUAUGACAUGUAGUGGUGAAAUACUUAGAUAUGUCAUAGAACACCGAUUGCGAAGGCAGCUAACGAAACUAUAACUGACGCUGAGGCACGAAAGUGCGGGGAUCAAACAGGAUUAGACACCCUGGUAGUCCGCACCGUAAACGAUGAUUACUCGUUGUUGGCAAUAUGACCGUCAGCGACCAAGCGAAAGCGAUAAGUAAUCCACCUGGGGAGUACGCCGGCAACGGUGAAACGUCAAAGUGAAUUGACGGGCUGAGACGNGCGACGGACGACGACGAGGGAGGAGG